UACGAAGGGGGCAAGCGUUGUUCGGAAUUACUGGGCGUAAAGGGCGUGUAGGCGGAUCGACCAGUCAGGGGUGAAAUCCCGGGGCUCAACCUCGGAACUGCCUUUGAUACUGUCGAUCUAGAGUCUGUGAGAGGGUGGCGGAAUACCCAGGUGUAGAGUGAAAUUCGUAGAUAUUGGGUAGAACACCAGUGGCGAAGGCGGCCACCUGGCACAGUACUGACGCUGAGGCGCGAAAGCGUGGGGGAGCAAAACAGGAUUAGAUACCCCCGGUAGUCC
rnacentral:rRNA from 1 species